GUGAUUGCAAGGCUGUACGAUGGCAGCAGAGGGACCGAAGGCUGUUGGUGUGAGGGGUAGUCUGAGACCUGAGCCGUGUUUCAAGCCGAGGGGACCCUCUGACUUUCACCUCUGUCCUUCAGACAGCACCAGCAUCCCAUCCCUGAGCCUCCUGUUCCACUCGGGAGGGGCUUUAGGAAGGAGGCGAAGUCAGGAAAGAGCAGGUCCUCGGAGGCUGAACAAGGCCAGCUCUGGAGUCGAAUCCACUGGAAUCUGGAGCAAGCCCCUCUGGCCUCGGGGUUGGGUUCUUGAUACUUGUCGGCUUGCCCAGGUGCCCUACCUUCAGACCCCGGGACCCUGCGUAGUGACUGCUGUGACAGAUAGCACCAGCCUUGGGUUUCCGAUCUGCCUCCGAGGCACCUGCUGUUACGUCCUCGGGCCAGUCAGCAGUCCCCCACCCCUGAGUUGUCAGAAUUAAACGGCACAAUGAAUUGAA
rnacentral:lncRNA from 1 species